GAUGAAGAACGCAGCGAAAUGCGAUAAGUAAUGUGAAUUGCAGAAUUCAGUGAAUCAUCGAAUCUUUGAACGCACAUUGCGCCCGCCAGUAUUCUGGCGGGCAUGCCUGUUCGAGCGUCAUUUCAACCAUCAAGCCCCCGGGCCUGUGUUGGGGACCUGCGGCUGCCCGCAGGCCCCGAAAACCAGUGGCGGGCUCGCUGUCACCCCGAGCGUAGUAGCAACACCUCGCCCAGGGAGUGCCGCGGGCACCGGCCGUAAAACCUCCUCUCGCCCCCCCCCGCGGGAGGGAACACCCCAAAGGUUGACCUCGGAUCAGGUAGGAAUACCCGCUGAACUUAAGCAUAUCAAUAAGCGGAGGA
rnacentral:misc_RNA from 1 species